rnacentral:rRNA from 1 species
UACAGAGGCCACGAGCGUUAGGCGGAAUCACUGGGCUUAAAGCGUGUGUAGGUGGAUCGGUAAGUACCUUGUGAAAUCCCACGACUCAAUCGUGGAACUGCUUGGUAUACUGCCCGUCUUGAGGCACUCAGGGGCGAGCGGAACAGAUGGUGGAGCGGUGAAAUGCGUAGAUAUCAAGAGGAACACCUGCGGCGAAGGCGGGUUGCUGGGCCGACACUGACGCUGAAGCGCGAAAGCCAGGGGAGCGAACGGG